GGUUCAUCUCAAGGAACACUGCAAGGAGCUGAGUGUAAUAGUGAUUUCUACCAACCUUUUAAAUUCCUGUCUUCUGGAAACAGUCGCUGUGUUUAUAAAAAAUCUUACUGCACUGAGGAAGGACAAGACGUUUAUACAAAUGGAACGAAGAGAAAUGAUAGGCUAUGCCGCUGUGACUAUACGAGAGGAUAUGAUUUUGUAAAAAGACCAAAACAUCAAUGUUAUUGUGUACCAUCCGAGGAAGAUUGUUCCUGUCUUCUUAAGAUAUGUCCAUCUAACUACAUUGUAUCUCCAGAUUAUAAGUGUCUAAAUAAAAACGAAUGGAAAAGUAGCUUUUACUGUGAAUUAAUGUCAACUUUCGUAUUGCCCAAAGAUACUGAAACGCCAUCGAUGGUCACUCCAUCUUUAGAGUAUCAUGUACUAGGUA